rnacentral:rRNA from 1 species
UACGUAGGGGGCAAGCGUUGUCCGGAAUCAUUGGGCGUAAAGCGCGUGUAGGCGGUUCGGUAAGUCUGCUGUGAAAGUCCAGGGCUCAACCCUGGGAUGCCGGUGGAUACUGUCGGACUAGAGUACGGAAGAGGCGAGUGGAAUUCCCGGUGUAGCGGUGAAAUGCGCAGAUAUCGGGAGGAACACCAAUUGCGAAGGCAGCUCGCUGGGACGUUACUGAACGCUGAGACGCGGAAAGCGUGGGAGCAAACAGGGG